rnacentral:tRNA from 1 species
GGGGCUGUAGCUCAGUGGCAGAGUGCUUGCCUAGCAUGCGUGAGGCACUGGGUUCAAUCCUCAGCUCCA